rnacentral:rRNA from 1 species
CUGGUUGAUCCUGCCAGUAGUCAUAUGCUUGUCUCAAGACUAAGCCAUGCAUGUCUAAGUAUGAAUGAUAUACAGUGAAACUGCGAAUGGCUCAUUAAAACAGUUAUAGUUUAUUUGAUGAUGACUUUCUACAUGGAUAACUGUGGAAAACUAGAGCUAAUACAUGCAACUAAAGCCCCGACUUCUGGGAGGGGUGUAUUUAUUAGAUAAAAAACCAACGCGGCUCGCCGCUCGUUUGGUGAUUCAUAAUAACUUUUCGAAUCGCAUGGCCUUGUGCUGGCGAUGCUUCAUUCAAAUAUCUGCCCUAUCAACUUUCGAUGGUAGGAAAGGUGGCCUACCAUGGUUUCACGGGUAACGGGAAUACGGUUCGAUUCCGGAGAGGGAGCUGAGAAACGCUACACAUCCAUGGAGCAGCAGGCGCGCAAAUACCCAUCCCGACACGGGGAGGUAGUGACAUAUAACGAUAUAGGGCUCUUAGUUAUAAUUGAUGGAUCAUUCCAUCCCUACGAGAACAUGAGCAUCUUGUAGGCAAUUCAGCACUGCGCGUUAUAAUGGAUUCGAGUGUACAA